GACGAACGCUGGCGGCGUGCUUAACACAUGCAAGUCGAGCGGUAAGGCCCUUUCGGGGGUACACGAGCGGCGAACGGGUGAGUAACACGUGAGCAACCUACCCUCAACUUCGGGAUAAGCCUCGGAAACGGGGUCUAAUACCGGAUAUCACUUUCCACCUCAUGGUGGGGGGUUGAAAGUUCUGGCGGUUGGGGAUGGGCUCGCGGCCUAUCAGCUUGUUGGUGGGGUAAUGGCCUACCAAGGCGACGACGGGUAGCCGGCCUGAGAGGGCGACCGGCCACACUGGGACUGAGAUACGGCCCAGACUCCUACGGGAGGCAGCAGUGGGGAAUCUUGUGCAAUGGGCGAAAGCCUGACGCAGCGACGCCGCGU
rnacentral:rRNA from 1 species